AAUUAUACAUAAACUUAUUCGUUAAUGGGUACCACAUGAUAACAAGAAAAAUAAAAAUAAUAAAAGAAAACAUAUCCAAUUAUUCUUCUGCUUCAUGCCAUGUAUAUGCAAGUGCAGUAGCAGAGCAAAGGUAAAAAAAUAAAAAUUAAAAAAUUAAAAAAAGAGAAAAAGAUCACAUUAUUUCAUUGGUUAAUAGCUAAAAAAAUUAAGUCUAGAUUGUACAUGGAGGCAUGUAAGCAGGUGGAGGAAGCAUUCUACUAGCCCUGGUACGUCCUUCCUUCACUAUUAUCACAGUGUCCAUUCCCCAGCUUGCAUGUCGUUCCAAAUGGCAGUGCAUAAACCAUACACCAGGAUUGUUGGCAGUGAACCUAAUGGCAGCCCAUCCUUUCCUAGGGAUUCCAAUGGUGUUAACUUCUG
rnacentral:misc_RNA from 1 species